rnacentral:pre_miRNA from 1 species
ACAACAUUUGGACCGUCGUGGCGUCGGUCUACUGAACAAUUUCAUCCGCUCGGUUGAAGAUCUUCCAUUUGUCAU